UACGUAGGUGGCAAGCGUUGUCCGGAUUUACUGGGCGUAAAGGAUGCGUAGGCGGAUGUUUAAGUGAGAUGUGAAAUACCCGAGCUCAACUUGGGUGCUGCAUUUCAAACUGGAUAUCUAGAGUGCAGGAGAGGAAAGCGGAAUUCCUAGUGUAGCGGUGAAAUGCGUAGAGAUUAGGAAGAACACCAGUGGCGAAGGCGGCUUUCUGGACUGUAACUGAC
rnacentral:rRNA from 1 species